rnacentral:misc_RNA from 1 species
UCCGGUUUGUCACCGGCAGUCUCCCAUGAGUCCUCAACUGAAUGCUGGCAACAUAGAACGAGGGUUGCGCUCGUUGCGGGACUUAACCCAACAUCUCACGACACGAGCUGACGACAACCAUGCACCACCUGUGCAGGACCCUUACGGACCCCGUAUCUCUACGAGAUUUCCCUGCAUGUCAAGCCUUGGUAAGGUUCUUCGCGUUGCGUCGAAUUAAGCCACAUGCUCCGCCGCUUGUGCGGGCCCCCGUCAAUUCCUUUGAGUUUUAGCCUUGCGGCCGUACUCCCCAGGCGGGGCGCUUAAUACGUUAGCUUCGGCACGGAGAACGUGGAAUGUCCCCCACACCUAGUGCCCACCGUUUACGGCGUGGACUAC